rnacentral:rRNA from 1 species
AAAUGUAACAAGGUCUCCGUUGGUGAACCAGCGGAGGGAUCAUUACCGAGUUUACAACUCCCAAACCCAAUGUGAACCAUACCAAACUGUUGCCUCGGCGGGGUCACGCCCCGGGUGCGUCGCAGCCCCGGAACCAGGCGCCCGCCGGAGGGACCAACCAAACUCUUUUCUGUAGUCCCCUCGCGGACGUUAUUUCUUACAGCUCUGAGCAAAAAUUCAAAAUGAAUCAAAACUUUCAACAACGGAUCUCUUGGUUCUGGCAUCGAUGAAGAACGCAGCGAAAUGCGAUAAGUAAUGUGAAUUGCAGAAUUCAGUGAAUCAUCGAAUCUUUGAACGCACAUUGCGCCCGCCAGUAUUCUGGCGGGCAUGCCUGUCCGAGCGUCAUUUCAACCCUCGAACCCCUCCGGGGGGUCGGCGUUGGGGACCUCGGGAGCCCCUAAGACGGGAUCCCGGCCCCGAAAUACAGUGGCGGUCUCGCCGCAGCCUCUCCUGCGCAGUAGUUUGCACAACUCGCACCGGGAGCGCGGCGCGUCCACGUCCGUAAAACACCCAACUUCUGAAAUGUGACC